UUCCAUCUUUUCUUCCUCAAUGGGAAAUUAGGGCUACCAUGAAUUCCAAAAAUUAUUUCCAAUCUCUCUUCCACCAAGAAUUUAUUUCUCAUCUUCUCUACUGGUAAGUCUACUAUCAGAAUUACGGUUUUCAUUUUAAUCAAAUUUUGAUUACGACAUUUUUCACAGUCAUUGUUAAUUCAUCCCAUGAGGGUAAAUAACAUCUAUCUAUAAUCCUCUCAAUGAAUUACUACAAAGGUGGUAUCACCAAAAACAAGUUGAUACUUGAGAUUUUAGUUCUGAUGUCAAGAUUUUGUUGAAAAUCAACAGUGCAAAUGACUUAUAUCAAUUACUUCACGAAUUCCGUUAAGGUCGAAAAUGUUGGAUUCAUGUGGAUAAGAAACUUCUUUUUAGUUGUGUCAAUUUUUUCCUUUUUGGCUUAGACUGGUGGUGGCUUCAAGAAUCCCUUGGAAGAUGAAAUUCAAUCUUCUCCUAUAGCGUUCCUUUAGAGGCAAUGGGAGCAGAAAAACCCGUCAUGUCAUGCAGUAGAGGUGGUCUAUCAAGACUGUGAAAGAUGGAAUCACAAGAUUUCAGGAACUGCUCUGACAAUGCUCUUGGAAAUCUAUAAUUUACCUCCUUACAAAGGAUUUAUUGAUGCGCAUGCCUUUAAGAUGCUACACCAUUCUCUUUGCCUACCUAUGGUGGAGUUUCAUCAAAGAGUGCCCAGGUUAGGGGAUUUCAAACAUCAUGAAGAAGGCAAAAUAAAUAAAAACUCCAAAAGAUGCACACGCCAGAAAAAUUAGUGUCACUACAUGAACGCCUGAAUGGGAUAACAAGGUUUAGUAAUGAUUCUAAUGCUGAUCGGAAGACUUCUGCUAUCUCUCGACAGCCCAGUAGCCAAUAAUGCAGCUACAACGGGCUCUAUAUCCGACGUGGAUGUUCCAAAAUUUUCAGUCAGUGGGUGGU